rnacentral:rRNA from 1 species
AGACCCGAAACCCGGUGAUCUAGCCAUGGGCAGGUUGAAGGUUGGGUAACACUAACUGGAGGACCGAACCGACUAAUGUUGAAAAAUUAGCGGAUGACCUGUGGCUGGGGGUGAAAGGCCAAUCAAACCGGGAGAUAGCUGGUUCUCCCCGAAAGCUAUUUAGGUAGCGCCUCGUGAAUUCAUCUCCGGGGGUAGAGCACUGUUUCGGCUAGGGGGCCAUCCCGGCUUACCAACCCGAUGCAAACUGCGAAUACCGGAGAAUGUUAUCACGGGAGACACACGGCGGGUGCUAACGUCCGUCGUGAAGAGGGAAACAACCCAGACCGCCAGCUAAGGUCCCAAAGUCAUGGUUAAGUGGGAAACGAUGUGGGAAGGCCCAGACAGCCAGGAUGUUGGCUUAGAAGCAGCCAUCAUUUAAAGAAAGCGUAAUAGCUCACUGGUCGAGUCGGCCUGCGCGGAAGAUGUAACGGGGCUAAACCAUGCACCGAAGCUGCGGCAGCGACACUGUGUGUUGUUGGGUAGGGGAGCGUUCUGUAAGCCUGUGAAGGUGUGCUGUGAGGCAUGCUGGAGGUAUCAGAAGUGCGAAUGCUGACAUAAGUAACGAUAAAGCGGGUGAAAACCCCGCUCGCCGGAAGACCAAGGGUUCCUGUCCAACGUUAAUCGGGGCAGGGUGAGUCGACCCCUAAGGCGAGGCCGAAAGGCGUAGUCGAUGGGAAACGGGUUAAUAUUCCCGUACUUGGUGUUACUGCGAAGGGGGGACGAAGAAGGCUAGGCCGGCCGGGUGACGGUUAUCCCGGUUUAAGCGUGCAGGUGGGUGGUUUUGG